UCGGGCGGGCAGGAAACUAGCUCGCUAUUCAGGAAGAUGGCCAUCUAUGAACCAGGAUGUGGGCUCUUAACCCCCCAUCUGUUGGCAACUUGAUCUUCGACUUCCCAGACUCCAGAAUGGCAAGAAAUAAAUGUUUGUUGUUUAAGUCAA